CUGUCACCUCCAGACUCCUCUAACUUAUAAUUCUCCAGCUUCCUUUCACAGGGAUAGAAUUUUUAUUUUGUAAGAGAUUUAUUAAAAGUUAAAUCAGCGUCUAAUACAGAAAUGAUUUUGUAAAGACCUAUGAAUCGAAAACUGAGUAGAGACUAAUAAAAAUCAGAUGUUAAAUGACUUGAGAAAAAAGAUACAUCUUACAUUUUCCCCGUUAUUGAGCUCAAAGUAUAAGAAAUUGAGCUAUUUAUAGGCCUUCAAAUUGUUAGGAUUUUAUUGGUGGAGGGAGGGAAAGGAGACACACUUCUGUGCUGAAACAAGAUUUUAUGAAAACUUUGGCGCCAAAAAGGACUGUCGUGGUUUUACCCCAGCCAGUAGCUGAGCACCAUGCAGGCGCUCACUCACUCCCCCCCAUCUUCCCCAAGCUCCUUAUAAACUGAGCAUGACAUCAUAUGGUAUGGAAUACCCCUUUGGUCAAUUUGGGUCACCUGUCCUGUCUGUGUCUCCUCCCAACUUCUUGUGCACCCCCAGCCAUCCCGCUGGCAGGGCAGUGCAAGAAGCAGAAAAGGCCUUGGCCCCGUGUAAACACUGCUCAACAAUAAGUCCAUAGAACAAAAACAUCUCUAUAUUAUCAACACUGUCUCCAGCACAAAUCCAAAACAUAUCCCCACACUAGCUACUAUGAAGAAAAUCAACCCUCUCAGCUAAAAUCAGGACAAUGAGGAAAAAAAAUCAAGAGCUUUGUAAUCUAUUCAGUAGUUCAGAAAACCAAACUAUAAAUGGUAAAGUUUAAAUAUACUGGAAGCUCCUAUUCUCCAUUUGAGAGGUGAGAUUUGAAAUUGGAGAUUCAGAAUUUCCUGGAAAAGAGUGACCAGUUUUAGUAACGCUGUAAAAGUGAGCAAUAAAAUAGGAAGAAGAAAUUCUAUGACAACUCUGCAAGUGGAAAACAAAGAGCUGAGACAUACUGAAGCAGAUUAAGCUGCUUAUAACAGCUAGCUCUGGAAUAUCUAUAAAGUGCUGCCAAUACAGUUUUAAAUGAACACGUUGCACAUCUAGCAUGGGGCAGAUAAACCCCAGAUUAGGUAUACUUAGAAUUCCUCCAAAGUUUUAGAAAGAUUUUUACCUCAGGGAAACCUCUUGCAACGUAAUAUUUAUAAAACAGUUUAUACAGAACAUACUUAAUGCUAGUUCAGUGCUCUCUACUAAAAAGAUGGUAUUUCAAAAGUAAAAGGUGCAGGUUACGAUUUAUAGGCUCAAAUGACAUCUAAAAUUUUUGCAAAUUAUAACCUAUAACAGUAGUCUAAAAAAUUGCUGAUUUAAGAUUACCUUCCAGAUUUUAAAACCCCAUUCCAAAGACAACAGCCAUUAGAGCUUAAAUUACAUACAGCAAAUCAAGAAUCGUUCUUAGGCAAAUACUGAAUUUUUAUUUACAGAAAAAGACAGUAACCCUGUCCCUUUGAAGAUAACUUUUCAAGUGUUAAUUGAGCUUAAGCAGAUACAGUCUUGCCUCCCCAAGACUGCUGACAGGUACAAGGCCAGCGAUGUCUCCAAGGAAAAACUACUAUUUAGUUUUCAUUGCAGCUAUUUAAAAAUACAAGGCUCAAGAUAUAAGUUAGUAUGCAUCAAAUUUGCCCCUUUUGCUGCUUCUAUUUUAGAAAUACGAGAGGAAGAGACGAAAAGGGGGUUUAAAGCACAUGACAGAACUAUCAAGUACUCUGCCAUGCAGUCAGGGAGAGGGAAAAAAAUCCCUACUACAGCAGGGAAAAAAAUGUGGUGUGGUAAUUAAGUAUCUAUCUGAUCAAAUGAAGCAGACUAGAGAAUAACCUUGCAUAUUGUUUAUCUAAACUGUUAUAUUUCAAGUAAUAUUAAAGCUGGAGUCCUUGAGACAAUGUACUAUCGUGGGAUUCUACCAGGACUCCCAACACAUGGGGGAGCUGGGGAGAGAGGUGCAUGUUGCAUUCCUUGAGGACCCCACGUUUUAUGCCACCUUUUGAUCUAACAGAUGGAGACAGAGGAUAUUACGACCUGAUAAUAUUAAGGUGAGGAUGAAAAGCAGUCAAGGGAAGAAAAAAAAAGAGAUUAGACACAGAGGAAAAAAAAGUAAUAAAGAACAUUUAGAAACAGAUUUUAAGAAAAGGAGAUAAACAAGUAACAGAGAGGAGAUGGAGAUAAAUAUGAAAGUGAAACCGUGCCCACUGAAUUAAAUAAAUAAAUAAAUCCUUAGUGAGAAGGUAAAAGGGAACCACAGCCUGGAAAAAGACAAAAGGAUUAUGAAAACAAACACUCUCGUAAAGUAAUAUUAUAUGGAAGUUCUAUAUAAUGCUGAUAUCUUUCUGUGGGUCCAUAAAUUCUUUCUGCCCAAGCUCAUGGUGAGGAGGAGUAGGGAGGUUUCUAAGAAUCUAUCUGAACCACACUUAUAUUAUGCAUCCAAAAUAUCUCCACACACACCACCACCCUGCAAAAAACUCUAACAUUUUUGUUUGCAAGAGAAUAAAUACAGUAUUUGAAUCAAUCUAGAUUAUGUAAGUUUCUUCAGAUUUUCUAAAAGGCAAAAUAAACCCAUUUCCAGUACUAUCUUUCAAGAACAGGAACUUGUUUUUAGAAGAAUUACUCUACAGUGAUAAGUAAAUGAUAUAUCUGGAUUAAUUUAUCGGCAUGUCUGAAGAAGAAAAUACUAGAAGAUGAUUUUUUACCUCCUCCCACUCAAAGCUAAUUCUUACUAUAUUUUCAAAAAAUGCACAUGAAGACUAAGUAUAGAAAAAUGUGCCAACAUUCCUCACCAAAAAUAGGCAAAGAAUGGGAAGAUGAAAUUUUAAGAGCAAAUGGGGUAUACCAGCUGUUCAGGAUUUAGAAAGGGAACCCUUCCAGUCCUCAGAACAAAAUGCAUUACUUCUGUGCUGAGGAAGAUUGAGCAGAAUCAGGAGUUAAGCUGGGAUACUUGGCAAGUGACCCUCUGCUCUUAACACGAGGGCUUAAACUGCUGGUCAAAACUGAAUGCUUGUGCUGUGAUCCUACCUUGCAUGGACCUGAAAUGGAAUAAUGAGAUUAAAUAUUCUGCAGACACAGGGUGAGGGAAGCACAACCGCUGCUCAAACAACAUCAGAGCAACGCUGAGAAGCUGCAGUAAUCUUGGCUAACUCUGGACGAGAAGGAUAAACGCCUUGCACCUUAGCACAAGCUUCUUACGUGCCUGAAAAAUACUGAGGAGACUUCCAAUUAAAGAGGGGAGAAGAGAGAAACACGGACCCGCCACCGCUUCAGCGCGGGAGCCCUGAGGGCGCCGUGACGACCCCGGCCCGCAGCACCUCCCACCCGCCUCUCAUGGCUCCCCGGCACCCCCAGCGAGGCGCCUCUCGCACCGGGCUUUCCCCCUCCCACCAUUUGAGGAGUCGUUCCUGGAUGUCCUUGUCCUCCAAGCAGGAGAAAGCUUUCUGCGGCAGGGAGCGGAAAACGAAGCCCACCGCGCAGCGCCCAACCCCGGCAGACAUCUUCCAGCGCCAGCGGCAGCUCGGCAGUUGCUAUGGAAACGGCGCCGCAAAAGCGGUGCGCUACCGGCGCGCUCCCGCCGCGGGGCUCGGCCCCGCUCACAAGCGUUCCGCCGCCUGACGGGGCCCUCGCUCACCCCUUCCCCGUGAGGGCCGGAAGGCACGGCUGUCUCCGUUCUGACAGGAUUUCUUUGAUUUUUACCUAUAAAAUCCCCUAAUUAAACAUCAGUCUUCACCCCACUCCCCUCUGCUCCUGUCUAUGCACCGGGAAAAUUCAGGCUUGCCAAAGGAAAACCUAGCAGACUGACUGGCAUGCAAAGGCAGGGUCUACCAUUACUGGCUUAAUCAACACCACCCUCAAUAACGUAAUGCCAAAACGAAUUAUGAAAAGCCCAAAGUUAUGAAUUACAAAGGUAUAAUGAAGCACGGCUUCAUCUUGGUUCCCAGGGUGUUGAGCCAUUUGGGAGUAGCGAGGCUGUGCUUUCAAGCUUUUCCCAGUGGAAAAUUUAAGGAGAGGACAUUGUUACUUAAGGAAGUUAUUUUUAAAAGUCCAGUAAAGCAAAAGACACCUUGCAAAAUUUGGGAAUUUCCUGCCCUUUGCAGGGAAAGCAGUCAGAGUUUAAGGCUGCUGUACAUCUCACGCUAUAUCCUUUAGCAAUCCA